rnacentral:misc_RNA from 1 species
GAUGAAGAACGUAGCGAAAUGCGAUAAGUAAUGUGAAUUGCAGAAUUCAGUGAAUCAUCGAAUCUUUGAACGCACCUUGCGCUCGUCGGUAUUCCGACGAGCAUGCCUGUUUGAGUCUCAUGAAUCUCUCAAACCUCGAAAGUUUGCGCUUUCGAUGGCUUUGGACUUGGAGGUCUAUGCCAGCGCGAGUCGGCUCCUCUCUAAAUGCAUUAGCUCGGAUCAUACGUGUCGAUCUGCGGUGUGAUAAACGUCUACGUCGCGGCAUUUGACACCUCGCUUUUUUGCGAGCUGGUCUGGCUUCUAAUCGCCUUCGGGCAACACAUCUGACAUCUGAGCUCAAAUCAGGUAGGACUACCCGCUGAACUUAAGCAUAUCAAUAAGCGGAGGA